UCCGUCGCCCUACCCAGCGCUGAUGACGAUGUCGUGAACUACAUUGCUCGCGGCUCUCCUCAUACCCUCAACAUUGUCACACCACCAUCGCAAUCCCGUCUCCCUCGCUCUGUCAUUCCCCCUUCCCCUCCUCUGCUUGCUUUUUUCAUCUCCCCUCUUCUUUCCUCUGUAUAAUUCGUAUCCACACAUAUCGCCGCGAGCCGCAGCUCGAGAGAGCUAGAGAGCCUCACCCUGUCGUAGUGCGCGAUACCAGUUCUCCGCUUUGUUUCCCAACGAGAUAUCUUGGUAUUUCAACUGUUGCAUUUGCAGCUUUCGAGCUUAAUGCAGAAUACUCAGAAGGGUAAUUGAGAAUUCCAUAUUUUGGGGGAUUUAGAACGGUUAUCGUGGAAUUCUUGCUCUAUUCUUGGAGUAGUGCUACCGUGAGCCUUGUCGAAUAUUUAGCAGAAGAGCAGCUGGUGGGAUUGCAGCUUGGAAAGGUUCUCAUUUUCCUUGAUCACAGUCACAAAUUGCGUACUUACCGCUUUACGAACCAUCUUUCACGGUUGAAUGCCGUUUCUCCAUCGGUUCUCCGUGGGUCUCACUGCGUGACGAACUUCCGAGAUAUCUAGCCCUGCUUAAAUUUGAGAUCCAUUGCGGUUUUGAGCGUCAUGAUUUAGCAAGUGUUUUAAAAAUUCCAGGGUCCUAGGGCAAUUGUCUCACGUAGUGCACUGAACUCUGUCUGAAUUUUAGGGGAUGAGAGGUAGAUUUGAAGAAUACUGGUGUCUAAUUUUCUGUUAAUUUUUCACCCUUGAGGUAGCUCAUGGAUUUGGGAGGUGAUCGCAUGAGAGCUCCUCAGAGGCAGUCUCGAGAAUAUCAAUAUAGAUCAUUGGACGUCUUCACAGAGCAACACGAGCAGUUGCAAAAGCAGCAGCAGCAAGAUGAGUAUCAGAGAACAGAAUUGAAGCUCGAGACACUGCCAAAAAUGUUAAGCAAUGCGACCGUGUCAUCUUCCCCUCGAAGCAGUCCGGAUGGACGUAGACUACGUACAGUCGCGAAUAAGUAUGCUGUGGAAGGUAUGGUUGGGAGUGGCGCAUUCUGCAAGGUGUAUCAGGGCUCCGAUUUGACGAACCACGAGGUUGUGGGCAUCAAGCUGGAGGAUACGAGAACUGAGCACGCUCAGUUAAUGCACGAGUCGCGCUUGUACAACAUAUUGCGGGGUGGGAAGGGAGUGCCCAACAUGAGAUGGUUCGGAAAAGAGCAAGACUACAAUGUGAUGGUGCUAGACCUAUUGGGGCCGAACCUGUUGCACCUCUUUAAGGUGUGUGGGCUAAGGUUUUCGUUGAAGACCGUGAUUAUGCUCGGUUACCAAAUGAUUGACCGGGUGGAAUACGUGCAUUCUCGAGGGCUCGUUCACCGUGACCUGAAGCCGGAUAACUUCCUCAUGGGCUGCGGUCGGCAAGGAAACCAAGUGUUCAUUAUAGAUUUUGGCUUGGCAAAGGAGUACAUGGACCCGGCAACACGAAGGCAUAUCCCUUACCGAGAUAGGAAGAGCUUCACAGGGACGGCACGGUACGCUAGUAGGAAUCAGCACAGAGGAAUCGAGCACAGUAGAAGAGAUGACAUAGAAUCACUUGGUUACAUUCUUAUGUACUUUCUAAGAGGCAAUUUGCCAUGGCAAGGGAAGGGCGGGCAACGCCUCACUGACCAGAAGCAACACGAGUACAUGCACAACAAAAUCAAGAUGAACACCACUGUGGAGGAGCUUUGUGAUGGGUAUCCCAGUCAAUUUGCCGACUUUUUGCACCACGCGCGAAGUCUAGGUUUCUACGAGCAGCCUGACUACUGUUACCUCCGAAGCUUGUUCCGUGAUCUUUUCAUUCAGAAAAAAUUCCAGCUCGACCAUGUGUACGACUGGACUGUGUAUACUCAACUCCCCCAGAAUGGCUCUCUGCAAUCAGUGCGCAGCCAGAAUUCCGCUGCUUCGUCCCAUUUGCAAAAUCGACCUUCGAAUGUAUCAUAUUGUCCACCCUUGACCAAGUCGGAGUUCCGUCGUGAGGUUGUUGCGGCGAAUUAGGGCUUACGUUGGGAGGACUAGUGGUUCAUCCUCUGCUCUGGUACUAAAAUAGCACAAGGUUGCUUACUGUUUCCCUCUCUCAAGUCUUACAUGAUUGUGAAUGGGGGUUUAUGGAGUUGAGGAUGAGGCAACUAAGCAGAGUGUAGGAAAAGAGUUGUAGACUCUCUAGUGUGUAGUGUGUAAAUCAAGGCUUCUAGCAUUGUGUCGGUAGCUUGUAUGGAUCAGACUAGAAAUGACUUUAUCCAUUACAAGAAUUUUUACUCGGAAAGCCCAUGACGGUGAUGAUUUCAAUACGUUGCACAAGCAACUUUCUUCUGUAAUUGAAAUAGAGGAUCUGGUCUGAGUAUGAGAAGAUGGGCAUACAUUAUUGGAGUA